rnacentral:lncRNA from 1 species
AAUUUGAAGCAGCUCUUUUGGCUUUUUUGUAUUAAAAAGACGGAGUUGUGAUGAGACCAAUGAAAUAAAAUUGAGCAUUAGCAGAUAAAUAAAGUGUAAGAUUUAUGUUCAAUUUUAGGUGUACAGCCAGCAUUGCUCAAAAGCUUUUUAUAGAAAACACUCUUUUCUAUGAUUUUUGUUUUCCAUAUAAAAAAUCUGAAAAAUAAAAACACUAUUUUGGUAAAAAAAAAUACAAAAACUUUCGAAAGAAAUUAUUUUUU